CUGACAGCUGUCCUUCAUGACAACAGAAGCCACAGAAAUCCUCCUCAUCAAAAACAUGACUUUGAUCUCCGUCCUCAUCUGGACUCUCCUCUGCUGCUGCUUCACAGAGUCCAGAGGCCAGAUCACAGUGACUCAGCCUGCAGCAGUGAGAUCUGAUCUGAGAGGAUCUGUCACUAUCAAAUGUAUAACUAGUGAAGCGGUAGGUGUUUAUACCGACAUAAAAAAAGAGGCUUUAUCCUGGUACCAACAGAAAGACGGAGAAGCUCCUAAAGCACUUAUUUCCCGUGCUGACCAGCGACUAUCUGGGAUUUCAGAACGUUUUUCAGGCAGUGGAUCAAAAACUGACUUCACUCUGACCAUCAGUGGAGUUCAGGCUGAAGAUGCAGCAGUUUAUUACUGUCUGAGUGAUCAUAACAUCAACAGUAAGAAUGUGUUUACACAGUGA